ensembl:lncRNA
GAAGUUUAGCACUGUGCAGCUGAGAUUUUGUGCAGCCAGACGAUGCAUGAGAUGCUGAGUCCUCAGGAAGGGGGACCAAUGACUAAUAAAUGAGGUGUUUCCUCCUUCAGUAUAAGUCACCUACUGGCAUCAAUAAGAAGCAGAAGAAAGACGUUCUCCUAUUUACAUGAGAUAAUACAGACAAAUAGCUACAUGAAGUAGGUAAGAGCAUAUUUCAAGUCCUGCAUUUAGCAUACCAGCUAAGCUUAUCAAGAAUAGCUUGUUCUCUUUGAGCAAGACUGGAAAACUAUUUGCUAAGAAGGGAAUACAGGGAUAAGAAUAUGGCUUACACCAACAGGUAAAAUGAAGAAUCCAAGUCCUUCCUCAUCAGCUUUCUGUUGAGCCUGUGUCAAGAUCUACAUUGCAAUAUUCCCAUUUCAGAAACCCCAGACUUCGAAUCAUAGAAUCACUAAGGUUGGAAAAGACCUUUAAGAUCAUUGAGUCCAGCCAUUAACCCACCGCUGCCAAGUCCAGCACUAAACUAUGUCCCCAAACGCCACAUCUGCAUCUCAAAUCCCUCCAGGGAUGACGACUCCACCACUUCCCUGGACAUCCUGUUCCGGUGCAACCCUUUUGGUGAAGGAAUUGUUCCUAAUCUCCAAUCUAAACUUUUUCUGGUGCAACUUGGGGCAAUUUCCUCUUGUCCUAUCCCUUGUUACUUUAGAGAAGAGUCCAACCACCACCUGGCUACAACCUCCUUUCAGGUAGUUGUAAUCUAUUUAAUAAAAUCCUUGCAAUCUAACUAAACUAUGAACCUGAUGCUCAGCUAGGAAGGGACAAGAGCAGAUCUCUGGGGUUGAUGCUGGAGCUUUGGUAGCCCUGGCUUGCAUGGGACACACUCUCCUGCCUGCAUAACCUUCCCUUUCUCCCAGCUUGAGCCAGGUCAUGGCAAUGCAAAACCUGUCACACCAUCGGUUUAUUUUCCACUGGAUAAAAAUUAUUCUCAUAUACUCUGCAGACAGCAGAUACUAAAGAAGCCCUGAACAGAACAUGAAGAGCUAUGAGUAUACCCACAAAUGCAUGUUUACACAAAAUGUUGUUCCAAUAUAUUUGGAAAAUAAAGAGAGAUGAAUCUGUCAGUUAA